GGAAGGCUGUCACCACACUCCCAACACGGCCACUGUAGGCACAAACAAAGAGGAAGCUGCUACCGAGAAAAACUGCAGGAGGCAGGAGGACAGAGGCCCAGGGCACAGGCCAGGAUGCUGGGACACAGCCCCCGCCCCUCCCCCAGGAUGUCGAUAAAAGAUGGUAGCAGAUGAAGAUGUCUGAUAAAGAUGUUCUCAGGCUGAAUGAACUGGAGCUGGAGAAGGAGACACUGUCCUGGAGAGAAGAGGAAGAUACAAAGCCAGGGGCCUGAAAGAGAAAUCUUUGGAGCCUGCUGGUGCAAUAGCAGUGAAAAGUUAACCUGACUCGAAUACCGGUGACUUUUGUUCUAUUUGGAGUUGACCAU